rnacentral:rRNA from 1 species
UACGUAGGGCGCAAGCGUUGUCCGGAAUUAUUGGGCGUAAAGAGCUCGUAGGCGGUCUGUCGCGUCCGUUGUGAAAACUCGAGGCUCAACCUCGGGCUUGCAGUGGAUACGGGCAGGACUAGAGUGCGGUAGGGGAGACUGGAAUUCCUGGUGUAGCGGUGAAAUGCGCAGAUAUCAGGAGGAACACCAGUGGCGAAGGCGGCUCACUGGACCGGUUCUGACGCUGAGGCGGCGAAAGCGGUGGGGAGCAAACGGG